UACGUAGGGUGCAAGCGUUAAUCGGAAUUACUGGGCGUAAAGCGUGCGCAGGCGGUUGUGCAAGACAGAUGUGAAAAUCCCCCGGGGCUCAACCUGGGAAUUGCAUUUGUGACUGCACGGCUAGAGUGUGUCAGAGGGGGGGUAAGAAUUCCACGUGUGAGCAGUUGAAAAUGCGUAGAGAUGUGGAGGAAUACCGAUGGCGAAGGCAGGCCCCCCUGGAUAAACACUGACGCUGCAUCGACUACCGAAAA
rnacentral:rRNA from 1 species